rnacentral:rRNA from 1 species
GCUAACGAUCAUACCACGUUGAAUACACCAGUUCCCGUCACAUCACUGAAGUUAGGCAACGUCGGGCGUGGUCAAUACUUGGAUGGGUGACCACCUGGGAACACCACGUAUCGUUGGCUCUU